UACGGAGGGUGCUAGCGUUGUUCGGAAUCACUGGGCGUAAAGCGCGUGUAGGCGGCCCCACUAAGUCUGAUGUGAAAAGCCCCGGGGGCUCACCCCCCGGAAGUGCAUUGGAAACUGGUGGACUCGAGUCCCGGAGAGGAGGGUGGAAUUCCGUGGUGUAGCGGUGAAAUGCGUAGAUAUCAGGAGGAACACCGGUGGCGAAGG
rnacentral:rRNA from 1 species